rnacentral:rRNA from 1 species
AAGGAUCAUUAUCGAGUUUUGACUGGGUUGUAGCUGGCCUUGCGAGGCAUUGUGCACGCCCUGCUCAUCCACUCUACACCUGUGCACUUACUGUGGGUUAUGGAUUGUGUGGAGCUCGCUCGCUCUUUGACGAGUUUGCGAAGCGCGUCUGUGCCUGCGUUUUACCACAAACACUAUUAAAGUAUCAGAAUGUGUAUUGCGAUGUAACGCAUCUAUAUACAACUUUCAGCAACGGAUCUCUUGGCUCUCGCAUCGAUGAAGAACGCAGCGAAAUGCGAUAAGUAAUGUGAAUUGCAGAAUUCAGUGAAUCAUCGAAUCUUUGAACGCACCUUGCGCUCCUUGGUAUUCCGAGGAGCAUGCCUGUUUGAGUGUCAUGAAAUCUCUUCAACCUACAGUCUCUUUGCGGUUUUUGUAGGCUUGGACUUGGAGGCUUGUCGGUCUUUACUGAUCGGCUCCUCUCAAAUGCAUUAGCUUGGUUCCUUUGCGAAUCGGCUGUCGGUGUGAUAACGUCUACGCCGUGACCGUGACGCGUUUGGCAAGCUUCUAACCGUCCUGUUAUUGGGACAACUCUUAUGACCUCUGACCUCAAAUCAGGUAGGACUACCCGCUGAACUUAA